rnacentral:rRNA from 1 species
GACGAACGCUGGCGGCGUGCUUAACACAUGCAAGUCGAACGGAAAGGCCCUGCUUUUGUGGGGUGCUCGAGUGGCGAACGGGUGAGUAACACGUGAGUAACCUGCCCUUGACUUUGGGUUAACUUCAGGAAACUGGGGCUAAUACCGGAUAGUAGCUCCUGCUGCAUGGUGGGGGUUUGAAAGUUUCGGCGGUUGGGGAUGGACUCGCGGCUUAUCAGCUUGUUGGUGGGGUAGUGGCUUACCAAGGCUUUGACGGGUAGCCGGCCUGAGAGGGUGACCGGCCACAUUGGGACUGAGAUACGGCCCAGACUCCUACGGGAGGCAGCAGUGGGGAAUAUUGCACAAUGGGCGGAAGCCUGAUGCAGCAACGCCGCGUGCGGGAUGACGGCCUUCGGGUUGUAAACCGCUUUCGCCUGUGACGAAGCGUGAGUGACGGUAAUGGGUAAAGAAGCACCGGCUAACUACGUG